UGGGGAAUCUUGCGCAAUGGGCGAAAGCCUGACGCAGCGAUGCCGCGUGCGGGAUGAAGGCCUUCGGGUUGUAAACCGCUUUCAGCAGGGACGAAAUUGACGGUACCUGCAGAAGAAGCCCCGGCCAACUACGUGCCAGCAGCCGCGGUAAUACGUAGGGGGCGAGCGUUGUCCGGAUUUAUUGGGCGUAAAGAGCGUGUAGGCGGUUUGGUAGGUCCGCUGUGAAAACUCGAGGCUCAACCUCGAGACGCCGGUGGAAACCAUCAAACUAGAGUCCGGAAGAGGAGAGUGGAAUUCCUGGUGUAGCGGUGAAAUGCGCAGAUAUCAGGAGGAACACCGAUGGCGAAGGCAGCUCGCUGGGACGGUACUGACGCUGAGACGCGAAAGCGUGGGGAGCGAACAGGAUUAGAUACC
rnacentral:rRNA from 1 species